rnacentral:rRNA from 1 species
CCUACGGGUGGCAGCAGUCGAGAAUCAUUCACAAUGGGGGAAACCCUGAUGGUGCGACGCCGCGUGGGGGAAUGAAGGUCUUCGGAUUGUAAACCCCUGUCAUGUGGGAGCAAAUUAAAAAGAUAGUACCACAAGAGGAAGAGACGGCUAACUCUGUGCCAGCAGCCGCGGUAAUACAGAGGUCUCAAGCGUUGUUCGGAAUCACUGGGCGUAAAGCGGGCGUAGGCUGUUUCGUAAGUCGUGUGUAAAAGGGGCGGGCUCAACCCGCGGACGGCACGUGAUACUGCGUGACUAGAGUAAUGGAGGGGGAACAGGAAUUCUCGGUGUAGCAGUGAAAUGCGUAGAUAGAGAGAGGAACACUCGUGGCGAAGGCGGGUUCCUGGACAUUAACUGACGCUGAGGCACGAAGGCCAGGGGAGCGAAAGGGAUUAGAUACCCUAGUAGUC